rnacentral:rRNA from 1 species
UUCUAUAACUCCCAAACCCAUGUGAACAUACCUAACGUUGCCUCGGCAGGUCGCACCUACCUUGUAGCACCCUACCCUGUAGGGCCUACCCGGGAGGUGCGGGUAAGCCUGCCGGCGGCCCACCAAACUCUGUUUGAUAUUGAAUUCUGAACCUAUAACUAAAUAAGUUAAAACUUUCAACAACGGAUCUCUUGGUUCUGGCAUCGAUGAAGAACGCAGCGAAAUGCGAUAAGUAAUGUGAAUUGCAGAAUUCAGUGAAUCAUCGAAUCUUUGAACGCAUAUUGCGCCCAUUAGUAUUCUAGUGGGCAGGACCGUUCGAGCGUCAUUUCAACCCUUAAGCCUUCGUUGCUUAGUGUUGGGAGCCUACGGCAACGUAGCUCCUCAAAGUUAGUGGCGGAGUUAGUUCACACUCUAGACGUAGUAAUUUUUUAUCUCGCCUAUUAGUUGGACUAAUCCCCUGCCGUAAAACCCCCAAUUUAUCAAGGUUGACCUCGAAUCGGUUCAGACAAACUCGCUAAAUUGAAGCAUCUUAGUCAGCGAAGGAAAAGAAACCAACAGGGAUUGCCCUAGUAACGGCGAGUGAAGCGGCAACAGCUCAAAUUUGAA